rnacentral:rRNA from 1 species
CCUACGGGCGGCAGCAGUGGGGAAUAUUGGGCAAUGGGCGCAAGCCUGACCCAGCAACGCCGCGUGAAGGAAGAAGGCUUUCGGGUUGUAAACUUCUUUUGUCAGGGAAGAGUAGAAGACGGUACCUGACGAAUAAGCCACGGCUAACUACGUGCCAGCAGCCGCGGUAAUACGUAGGUGGCAAGCGGUGUCCGGAUUUACUGGGUGUAAAGGGCGUGUAGCCGGGUUGACAAGUCAGAUGUGAAAUCCUGCGGCUUAACCGCAGAACUGCAUUUGCAACUGUUGAUCUUGGGUACUGGAGGGGCAGACGGAAUUCCUAGUGUAGCGGUGAAAUGGGUAGAUAUUAGGAGGAAACCCAGGGGCGAAGGCGGUCUGCUGGACAGCAACUGACGGUGAGGCGCGAAAGCGUGGGAGCAAACAGGAUUAGAUACCCCAGUAGUC